UACGUAGGUGGCAAGCGUUGUCCGGAAUCGUCGGGUGUAAAGGGUGCGCAGGCUGGCGCCUAAGUCGGAGGUGAAAUCUUGCCGCUUAACGGUAAAAUUGCCCCCGAUACUGGGUGUCUUGAAUCUGACAGAGGUCGGUGGAAUUCGUGGUGUAGCGGUGAAAUGCAUAGAUAUCACGAAGAACACCAGUGGCGAAGGCGACCGGCUGGGUCAGUAUUGACGCUGAGGCACGAGAGCGUGGGGAGCGAACAGG
rnacentral:misc_RNA from 1 species